GGUCUUAUAGUUUAUAUAAAACAUUAAAUUGCAAAUUUGAAUAAGAAUUUCUUUAUUCUAAGACUU
rnacentral:tRNA from 1 species